CAGCAGGAGCUGACAAUCCUCAGGGCUUUCUAUGCACAUGCCACACUAAGGGCUACGAUUCUCACCUAAUCUUCACAAUAAUCCUAUGCGGUAGCUGCCAUUAUUUUCCUCACUCCGCCAACGAGAAAAUCGAGGUUCAGGGAGGUUUCAGAAACUUACCCAAGUUCAUCCAGUAAUAAAUACCAAACUUGGGAACUAAGAUUUCAGUCUUCUAUUUCUGAAGCCUGUGCUUAUUAUUACUUUUUAGCUACUUUCCACUGAUUAUGAGGACUAUAACUGAUGGGCAGNUUACAGGAUACAAUUAUUAUACACAAGUGGGCUCGGUGGUCUUUGCAAAACAUGUAUUAACACUAAAAUUGUAUCAGCAUCUGGUAUACUUAAAAGCUUUUUUUGAUACAUCUAAAAAUAAAAUGUAUUUUUUUUAACCAUUUAAAGAGUAGCAUGUGGUGAUACAGAAAGUUCGUAAUUAGAAGGAAGGAAAACCCAUCAAUAUUCUUAGCAACUCAAAGACCACUAUAGUUAACACCUUAAUAUAUAUUUCUUGCCAUUUUUUUCUAUGCAUAAUUUAUAUAUUUGUGAUCUUCUGUAUACAUAAAUUUGAAUCCUGUAUUUCUUCAUCAGUAUCAUAAUAAUCACUUCCCCAGAGGUAUUUCCUAACUUUUUGGUUGCCACAGUCCCCUAACUGCAGUCAGAGGCAUAGUAAGAUCCUGAUACCACAUGCUGAAUCGUAAGAUAAAAUCUAGUCAUUCAUUAUUUUUAAGUCUUCAUUGAAUUUGUUACAUUAUUCCUUCUCUUUCAUGUUUGAGUUUUUGGCCAUGAGGCAUGUGGGAUCUUAGCUUCAUGACCAGGGAUCAAACUUACACCUCCUACAUUGGUAGGUAAAGUUUUAACCACAAGACCACUAGGGAAAUCCCUAAUCAUUCAUUAUUAAUUUCAUCAAGUUAUUGAACUGAUAAUACAUAUGCUUAUUCAAAAUUUCAAACGAAGAAAAAGAUAAAUAGAAAAGCCUGCCUGUUAUUCUUGACUUACA
rnacentral:lncRNA from 1 species